AGUGAACGCUGGCGGUAGGCCUAACACAUGCAAGUCGAACGGCAGCACAGUAAGAGCUUGCUCUUACGGGUGGCGAGUGGCGGACGGGUGAGGAAUACAUCGGAAUCUACUUUUUCGUGGGGGUUAACGUAGGGAAACUUACGCUAAUACCGCAUACGACCUACGGGUGAAAGCAGGGGAUCUUCGGACCUUGCGCGAUUGAAUGAGCCGAUGUCGGAUUAGCUAGUUGGCGGGGUAAAGGCCCACCAAGGCGACGAUCCGUAGCUGGACUGAGAGGAUGAUCAGCCACACUGGAACUGAGACACGGUCCAGACUACUACGGGAGGCAGCAGUGGGGAAUAUUAGACAAUGGGCGCAAGCCUGAUCCAGCCAUACCGCGUGGGUGAAGAAGGCCUUCGGGUUGUAAAGCCCUUUUGUUGGGAAAGAAAAGCAGCAGGUUGAUACCCCGCUGUUCUGACGGUACCGAAAGAAUAAGCACCGGCUAACUUCGUG
rnacentral:rRNA from 1 species